UACAGAGGGUGCGAGCGUUGUCCGGAAUCACUGGGCGUAAAGGGCGCGUAGGUGGUGGCUUAAGCGUGCGGCGAAAGCUCGGGGCUCAACUCCGAGUCGGCCGUGCGAACUGGGCUCACUGGAGCAUAGUAGAGGCAGGUGGAAUUCCGGGUGUAGCGGUGGAAUGCGUAGAGAUCCGGAAGAACACCGGUGGCGAAGGCGGCCUGCUGGGCUAUGGCUGACACUGAGGCGCGACAGCGUGGGGAGCAAACAGG
rnacentral:rRNA from 1 species